CAGUCCUCCCACUCCCCUGGCUCUCUCGGUGCUGUUUUCUUCACCUCCUCCUGCCCUCCUGGUCCCUGGCACCCCAGGGCUCAUAAACAUGCUGCUCCCAAAACUCCAAGGCAAGUAUGGAAGGGCAGAACAGCUUCUGGGACAGUGGGAAGAUGAGGCCACCCGCUAUGGCCCUGAGCCCCCCACACAGCUGAGCUGGCCCAAGCUGAGGAGUUGCUUGCACAGCAGCUGGAGCUGGACCAGGCCCUCCUGGAAGGGAAGGAGUCGGUGGGGGCCCAGGCCCUGGUGCUCAAGAUCCAAAAGCUAAAGAAACAGAUGAGGAGGCACUGA
rnacentral:lncRNA from 1 species